CUAAUACAUCGGUUCUCGUGCGAUAACCGAGGUUAAGCGAUGUCGGGCCUUGUCAGCACCUAGAUGGGUGACCCUUUGGGAGUAGUAAGUGCUGUAAG